GACGAACGCUGGCGGCGUGCUUAACACAUGCAAGUCGAACGAUAAAAGAGGAGCUUGCUCCUCUGGAUUAGUGGCGAACGGGUGAGUAACACGUGAGCAAUCUGCCCCUGAUUCCGGAAUAACUACGGGAAACUGUAGCUAAUACCGGAUAUGCGCCGAACUGGCAUCUGUAUCGGUGGGAAAUAAUUUCGGUCAGGGAUGAGCUCGCGGCUUAUCAGCUUGUUGGUGGGGUGACGGCUCACCAAGGCUAGGACGGGUAGCCGGCCUGAGAGGGUGACCGGCCACAUUGGGACUGAGAUACGGCCCAGACUCCUACGGGAGGCAGCAGUGGGGAAUAUUGCACAAUGGGCGCAAGCCUGAUGCAGCAACGCCGCGUGAGGGAUGACGGCCUUCGGGUUGUAAACCUCUUUUGGCAGGGAAGAAGCGAAAGUGACGGUACCUGCAGAAAAAGCGCCGGCUAACUACGUG
rnacentral:rRNA from 1 species